GCAAGAUUAUAGAAGACACUGGUAUCAGUAUGAAUAGCACGAAAAAGAAGUUGCUCACCCUUGCCUACACAUAUGCCUUUCCCUGGAAGGAACCACACACACUGUUUCCAAUGGUCACACCAGUUCCCAGUGCUUGCUUUUGUUAUCCAUCGAGGGGCAGUGGAAUAAAAGAUUGUCCCUUCAUGAUCAAGCUGCAGCAUCCACCAUGAUAAUAUAGCAUGAACUCUACCAUCAUCAAUGGCCUUGAUGAGCAGCUCAGAUUCC
rnacentral:misc_RNA from 1 species